rnacentral:rRNA from 1 species
UACGGGAGGCAGCAGUGGGGAAUUUUGGACAAUGGGCGCAAGCCUGAUCCAGCAAUGCCGCGUGCAGGAUGAAGGCCUUCGGGUUGUAAACUGCUUUUGUACGGAACGAAAAGCUUCGGGUUAAUACCUUGGAGUCAUGACGGUACCGUAAGAAUAAGCACCGGCUAACUACGUGCCAGCAGCCGCGGUAAUACGUAGGGUGCAAGCGUUAAUCGGAAUUACUGGGCGUAAAGCGUGCGCAGGCGGUCUUGUAAGACAGAGGUGAAAUCCCCGGGCUCAACCUGGGAACUGCCUUUGUGACUGCAAGGCUGGAGUGCGGCAGAGGGGGAUGGAAUUCCGCGUGUAGCAGUGAAAUGCGUAGAUAUGCGGAGGAACACCGAUGGCGAAGGCAAUCCCCUGGGCCUGCACUGACGCUCAUGCACGAAAAGCGUGGGGAGCAAACAGGAUUAGAUACCCUGGUAGUCCACGCCCUCUUUAAAAGGGGGACUGGUUGUUGGGUCUUAGCUGACUCAGUAACGAAGCUAAUCGCGUGAAGUGG